rnacentral:rRNA from 1 species
CGUGCCUAACACAUGCAAGUCGAGCGAUGAAGUUCUUCGGAACGGAUUAGCGGCGGACGGGUGAGUAACACGUGGGUAACCUGCCUUGUAGAGGGGGAUAGCCUUCCGAAAGGAAGAUUAAUACCGCAUAACAUCUUUUUUAUCGCAUGGUAGAAAGAUCAAAGGAGUAAUCCGCUACAAGAUGGACCCGCGGCGCAUUAGCUAGUUGGUGAGGUAACGGCUCACCAAGGCGACGAUGCGUAGCCGACCUGAGAGGGUGAUCGGCCACAUUUGGAACUGAGACACGGUCCAGACUCCUACGGGAGGCAGCAGUGGGGAAUAUUGCGCAAUGGGGGAAAAACCCCUGACGCAGCAACGCCGCGUGAAUGAAGAAGGCCUUAGGGUUGUAAAGUUCUGUUUACGGGGACGAUAAUGACGGUACCCGUGGAGGAAGCCACGGCUAACUACGUGCCAGCCGCUGC